UUAUAAAUUCAUGUCAGUCGAUUUCGGUGCCCACAUUUAAUUGAAAUAUUUUGAAAAUUUGUCUAAAUGAGAAUAAAUCACUGUUUGAUUGUAUGUGUGUUAUUUUACAAUAUGUGAAUAUACAUACGAAAGAAAAUACGAAAAGCAGAUAUCAAUGAAAUUGAUAUAGAUCUCUUGUAAAAUAAAAGGAAUUUUAUGCCAAGCGCUUGCUGAUAUUAUUAUUAGGAUUAAGAAUAAACAAAGAUUUAUCACAAAUGUAUUGCUUUCGCUCAAAGACAUGAUAAAUAGUAUUUGAGAAAACUACUCAAAAGUACUUAUAACUCCAAUGCAAAUACUUAAAACACACUCACUCACACACAUACACACACACACAGCUGCAAGUCAAUGACAGCUACAAGGAAAACAAACAAAAGCUUUUCCACAGUUGCAGAGAAAAACUCUUGAACUUUGAGUGUGAUUGAUUGCAACUGAAUGUAAUUGAAUAGCCGCAACUUGAAGAAUGCGCAAAAAAGCGAAAGUUUUCACUUUCAGACGGAUGGACGUGGGGAGAAGAAAAAACAACUUUCCGUCCAGACAGCUAGCAGACAGCAGAGCUGUCAUUGUGCAGGAAAAGCGGAAAAGCAUAAAUAGCAGCGAAGCGAAUGCAAAUGUGAAUUCAAUCUGGCAUUAAAAAUGCAACGAUGUGCGCUCAUAAAAGCGACUGAGACAAUGCUGCGAAUCAUAAAAGCCCAAAUUGCCAGACAUAAAGAAAGACCAUGGCUGAAGGAUACAAUUGUAUCUUGAGGGUUGCUUAGCCCGUCAGCCACUUAACUGCAACAAAUCGUCAAAUAAGUGGAAAAUAUUGCAGGCCACAAAUUGCUACAUUUCUCUGCCCAUCUUAUCUGGCGAGCUGCAGCACAGGCUGGGAGCUGGGAGCUGGGAGCAUAGGACCUCGAAAUCAGCGUACAACAUGCGACCCUUGCAGCUCACACACACACCCUUGAACUACAUCCCCCCGCUGAUAACACACGCUAAAUACAACAAGCAGAAGAUGUGGAGAGGGUUGAGGAUGAUAUCUGCCCAUAG